AAAUAAAAUUAUGAGAGCUUCUCUUCCUGGUUCUUCCCAGAAUUGGGAAAAGCUGGGUUGAGAAGGUAAAAAAAAAAAAAAA
rnacentral:pre_miRNA from 12 species